rnacentral:tRNA from 1 species
UGGAGUUUCGUUCAACGGUUAGGACAUGGGACUUUGACUCCCAAAAUAAUAGUUCGAGUCUAUUAACUCCAGCCA